UCUUCUUGGUCAUUUAGAGGAAGUAAAAGUCGUAACAAGGUCUCCGUAGGUGAACCUGCGGAGGGAUCAUUACCAAAUAUGAAGGCGGGCUGGAACCUCUCGGGGUUACAGCCUUGCUGAAUUAUUCACCCUUGUCUUUUGCGUACUUCUUGUUUCCUUGGUGGGUUCGCCCACCACUAGGACAAACAUAAACCUUUUGUAAUUGCAAUCAGCGUCAGUAACAAAUUAAUAAUUACAACUUUCAACAACGGAUCUCUUGGUUCUGGCAUCGAUGAAGAACGCAGCGAAAUGCGAUAAGUAGUGUGAAUUGCAGAAUUCAGUGAAUCAUCGAAUCUUUGAACGCACAUUGCGCCCUUUGGUAUUCCAAAGGGCAUGCCUGUUCGAGCGUCAUUUGUACCCUCAAGCUUUGCUUGGUGUUGGGCGUCUUGUCUCUAGCUUUGCUGGAGACUCGCCUUAAAGUAAUUGGCAGCCGGCCUACUGGUUUCGGAGCGCAGCACAAGUCGCACUCUCUAUCAGCAAAGGUCUAGCAUCCAUUAAGCCUUUUUUUCAACUUUUGACCUCGGAUCAGGUAGGGAUACCCGCUGAACUUAAGCAUAUCAAUAAGCGGAGGAA
rnacentral:rRNA from 1 species